GGGAUCCCGUGUCCGACACCUGGCACCAUCUCGCCGGUCUAAUAAUGGGGCAGCUGUGGGGUCUCACCAUGGUGACGCUGGGGCUCCAUUCCAUGCCGUGGGGGCAGCUUGUGGGGCAGCAGCAGGAAGGAGCUGAGGUAUGAGUUGGCGAGUACGGGCACCGGGGGGAGGCCGGAGGAGAAGAAAUCUGAACCUGGGACGGGAACUGCAUGAAUGGGGGGGGGAAGUAUGAAUGAAAUGGGUCGGCUAGAGUUCAUUGGACUGGGGAGGAACAAUGGGGUGGUAUGGGGGGAUAUGGGGUGGUUAUGGGGCAGCUAUGGGGUGGUUAUGGGAUUGUUAUGGGGUCACUAUGGGGCAGUUAUGGGGCAGUUAUGGGGCAGUUAUAGGGCAGUUAUGGGGCAGUUAUGGGGUUGAUCACCUGGUAAUGGUGCCUCAGUGUUGAGUUGUGGGUCUGGCCGGGGGUGAAGCUGAGAUAUGGGGUGGAGUCCUCCAGCCUAGGGGGGGAGAAAUGGGGGUCCUUAUAGGGUCCCCAUGGGGGUCCCCUAUAGGGUCACUGUGGGUCCCUAUGGGGUCGUUAUGGGUCUCUAUGGGGUCACUAUGGGUCUCUAUGUGUCCCUAUGGGGUCCCUAUGGGUCCCUAUGGGUCCCUGUGUGUCCCUCUGGGGUCCCUAUGGGUCCCUAUGGGUCCCUAUGGGUCCCUAUGUGUUUCUAUGUGUCCCUAUGGGUCCCUAUGUGUCCCUAUGGGUCCCUAUGUGUCUCUAUAGGUCCCUAAAUGUCCCCAUGGGUCCCUAUGUGUCCCUAUGGGGUCACUAUGUCUCUCUUUGUCUCUCUAUGUGUCCCUAUGGGUCCCUAUGAGUCUCUAUGGAGUCUCUAUGGGGUCACUAUGGGUCUCUAUGGGUCCCUAUGUGUCCCUAUGUGUCCCUAUAUGUUCCUAUGGGGUCACUAUGUAUCUCUAUGUGUCCCUAUGUCUCUCUAUGGGGUCUCUAUGGGUCUCUAUGGGUCUCUACGGGGUCUCUAUGGGUCUCUAUGGGGUCUCUAUGGGUCUCUAUGGGGUCUCUAUGGGCCUCUAUGGGUCUCUAUGGGUCUCUAUGGGUCUCUAUGGGUCCCUAUGGGGUCCCUAUGAGUCUCUAUGGAGUCUCUAUGGGGUCACUAUGGGUCUCUGUGGGUCCCUAUGUGUCCCUAUGUGUCCCUAUGGGGUCCCUAUGUGUCCCUAUAUGUCCCUAUAGGGUCUCUAUGUAUCUCUAUGGGUCCCUAUGUGUCCCUAUGUGUCCCUAUGGGGUCCCUAUGUGUUCCUAUGGGGUCUCUAUGUAUCCCUAUGUAUCUGUAUAUGUCCCUAUGUGUCCGUAUGUAUCUCUAUGGGGUCUCUAUGGGGUCUGUAUGGGGUCCCUAUAUUUCCCUAUGUCCCCCUAUGGGGUCCCUAUGGGGUCACUAUGUGUCUCUAUAUGUCCUUAUGUGUCCCUAUGUUUCCCUAUGUAUCUCUAUGUGUCCCUAUGUGUCCCUAUGGGUCUCUAUGUAUCCCUAUGGGGUCCCUAUAUGUCCCUAUGUGUCUCUAUAUGUCCCUAUGUGUCCCUAUGUGUCCCUAUGGAUCUCUAUGGGGUCCCUAUGUAUCUCUAUGUGUCCCCAUGUCCCCCUAUGGGGUCUCUAUGGGGUCCCUAUGUAUCUCUAUGGGGUUCCUAUGUGUCCCUAUGUGUCCCUAUGGGGUUCCUAUGUAUCUCUAUGUGUCCCUAUAUGUCCCUAUGUGUUCCUAUGGGGUCUCUAUGUAUCUCUAUGAGUCCCCAUGUGUCCCUAUGUAUCUCUAUGUGUCCCUAUGGGGUCUCUAUGAGGUCUCUAUAUGUCUCUAUGUUUCCCUAUGUGUCUCUAUGGGUCUCUAUGUGUCCCUAUAUCUCCCUAUGGGGUCCCUAUGUAUCUCUAUGUCCCCCUAUGGGGUCUCUAUGGGGUCUCUAUGUGUCUCUAUGUCUCCCUAUGUCCCCCUAUGUGUCCCUAUGUGAUCUCAAUGUGUCCCUAUGUGUCCCUAUGUAUCUCUAUGUGUCCCUAUGGGGUCUCUAUGUGUCCCUAUAUCUCCCUAUGGGGUCCCUAUGGGGUCUCUAUGUAUCUCUAUGUGUCCCUAUAUGUCCCUAUAUGUCCCUAUGGGUCUCUAUGGAUCCCUAUAUGUCCCUAUGUGUCCCUAUGGGUCCCUAUGUCUCUCUAUGGUCCCUAUGUGUCCCUAUGUCCCCCUAUGGGGUCUCUAAGGGGUCUCUAUGGGUCCCUAUGUAUCUCUAUGGAGUUCCUAUGUGUCCCUAUGUGUCUCUAUGGGGUCACUAUGUAUCUCUAUGUGUCCCUAUAGAUCCCUAUAUGUCCCUAUGUAUCUCUUUGUGUCCCUAUGUGUCCGUCUGUGUCCCUGUAUCUCCCAAUGGGGUCCCUAUGUGUCCCUAUGGGGUCCCUUGUCUCUAUGGGGUCUCUAUGUAUCUCUAUGUCCCCCUAUGCCCCCCUAUGGGGUCUCUAUGGGGUCCCUAUAGAUCCCUAUGUCCCCCCAUGUCCCCCUAUGUCCCUCUAUGUCUGUGCUCACCACGUGACCGCGGCUCCCACCCGGUACCGCACGGGGGCGCUCCAGAGCAGCGAGUUGUCGGACACCGUGAGACGGGAUUCAGUGGGGCUGGAACGGGGAGAAACGGGGGUUACGGCCCCAUAGGGACACAUAGGGACACAUAGAGACACAUAGAGACACAUAGGGACCCAUAGAGACACAUAGGGACACAUAGGGACCCAUAGAGACACAUAGAGACCCAUAGAGACACAUAGGGACCCAUAGGGACACAUAGGGACCCAUAGAGACCCAUAGAGACACAUAGAGACCCAUAGGGACACAUAGGGACCCAUAGGGACACAUAGGGACACAUAGAGACACAUAGAGACACAUAGGGACACAUAGGGACACAUAGGGACCCCAUAACCACCCCAUAUCCCCCAUAACCUCCCAUAUGACCCCAUAUCCCCCCAUAACCACCCCACA
rnacentral:lncRNA from 1 species